rnacentral:rRNA from 1 species
AACGAACGUUGGCGGCGUGGAUGAGGCAUGCAAGUCGCGCGUGAAAGUCCCUUCGGGGGCGAGUAAAGCGGCGGACGGGUGAGCAAUACGUACUCAAGCUGCCCUCGAGACGGGGAUAACGGCGGGAAACCGUCGCUAAUACCCGAUUCAUCUGUUGAGCUGCAUGGCUUGACAGAGAAACGGUGGGGACCCUUCGGGGCCUGCUGCUCGGGGAUGCGAUUACGGCCUAUCAGCUAGUUGGUGGGGUAACGGCCUACCAAGGCGACGACGGGUAGCCGGCCUGAGAGGGUGGUCGGCCACACUGGGACUGAGACACUGCCCAGACUCCUACGGGAGGCUGCAGUCGAGAAUCUUCCGCAAUGGGCGAAAGCCUGACGGAGCGACGCCGCGUGUAGGAUGAAGGCCUUCGGGUUGUAAACUACUGUCACGGGUUAUGAAUGUGUAUGCAUGAAUAGUGCAUGCAUUGACGUAAGCCCGGAAGGAAGCACCGGCUAACUCUGUGCCAGCAGCCGCGGUAAUACAGAGGGUGCAAACGUUGUUCGGAAUUACUGGGCAUAAAGCGCGCGUAGGCGGCGAUGUAAGUGUAGGGUGAAAUCCCACGGCUUACCCGUGUGAAUUGCCCCGCAUACUGCGUUGCUCGAGUGUGAUAGGGGAGAGCGGAACUCC